AGUGAACGCUGGCGGUAGGCCUAACACAUGCAAGUCGAACGGCAGCACAGUAAGAGCUUGCUCUUACGGGUGGCGAGUGGCGGACGGGUGAGGAAUACAUCGGAAUCUACUUUUUCGUGGGGGAUAACGUAGGGAAACUUACGCUAAUACCGCAUACGACCUACGGGUGAAAGCAGGGGAUCUUCGGACCUUGCGCGAUUGAAUGAGCCGAUGUCGGCUUAGCUAGUUGGCGGGGUAAAGGCCCACCAAGGCGACGAUCCGUAGCUGGUCUGAGAGGAUGAUCAGCCACACUGGAACUGAGACACGGUCCAGACUCCUACGGGAGGCAGCAGUGGGGAAUAUUGGACAAUGGGCGCAAGCCUGAUCCAGCCAUACCGCGUGGGUGAAGAAGGCGUUCGGGUGGUAAAGCCCUUUUGUUGGGAAAGAAAAGCAGCAGGUUAAUACCCCGCUGUUCUGACGGUACCCAAAGAAUAAGCACCGGCUAACUUCGUG
rnacentral:rRNA from 1 species